rnacentral:lncRNA from 1 species
UCUUUGUUAAAUUUAAAAAUAAUUGUUGCAGUGAAAAACUAUUAGGACUCCAUGGGAGGAACCUAAUAUUGCUCCAACGGAUAGAUACCUCAUAUUAUUUUAUACACUUAACUGCAUUCGAAGUCGAAAUAUCUUAUAUAAUACAAAAAUGCGGUGAAAAUUAAGAUAACAUUUUAAGUCAUCGUCUAAUUUUCUGACAAAUAU